GUCUAUGGCCAUACCACCCUGAAUGUGCCUGACCUCGUCUGAUCUCAGAAGCUAAGGAGAGUCGGGCCUGGUUAGUACUUGGAUGGGAGAAGUCAAAAACAGCAACAAAAGGAG
rfam:Dipodomys ordii contig_29703, whole genome shotgun sequence.